rnacentral:rRNA from 1 species
CGGACCUGUAAGUCCGCUGUGAAAUCCAAGCGCUCAACGUUUGGACAUGCAGCGGAUACUGCAGGUCUAGGGACCGGAAGGCGUCGAGGCUAUUCCCGGGGUAGGGGUGAAAUCCUAAAAUCCCGGGAGGAGCACCUGUGGCGGAAGCGCUCGACGAUUACGGAUCCGACGGUGAGGGACGAAAGCCAGGGGAGCAAAGCGGAUUAGAUACCCGCGUAGUCCUGGCCGUAAACAUUGACCGUUUGAUGUCGGACAACCUCCGAGGUUGUCCGGUGCCGAAGUGAAAACGUUAAACGGUCCGCCUGGGGA